rnacentral:lncRNA from 1 species
AAAAAAAAAAGGAAAGUCUUAAUAUAUUCCAAAAUAUUUAUUGUAGUCCUUGUUUUUUACAGUAGGAUAAGACAUGAAAAAGCAGGCACCAAUCAUUUGGGAAAUGGAUGAAUAAAUUGUGGUACAUUAAUGAAAUGGAACAUCAUUGUGUUGCACAAAACAUUGAAGUGGUUGGUAUAUUGAGAGACUGACAGACAAAGAGAGAAAGAA